GGGGUCAUCAGUAAGGCACUCAAUCACCUUAAUAUCCUGUGACACCCCUUAUAAGGCUGCUGUUAUGUUCUGGUGGUUGUCAGGAAUAAAUGUACAACAUUGCGUCUCUACAAGGGCACAGCUGCCACAUUGGGCAGCUCUGACCAUGUCUAAGGCCAUCCGGUUUUGCAGAACCAACUUCCUGAUCUGAUUGACUUCAUCAGUUAACAAAAAGGAGAGCAACUCGGGUGUAAUUCAGGGCCCAAACUGUGUGCUCUGCAAGGGCUGUAACUUGCAUUUCUACAGUAGCGACACCUGCUCUAGGGAUAGUUAUCGCUUAGGGGUAGAGUCACUAGGGGGCUUGCUGAACUCGUAAAAACCAGGAACAUAGCACCUUCCAGUUAGGUGGAUGACUAGGCAAUGUGGGAAACACAGUGGCAGGCACAGAAAGCCACCCCCAGGUACAACGUCCAGUCCAAUUGGCUGGUAGAUAUGGCCAUCCUGUGUCCCCACAGACCCAUAAACUCCCUGGGGGCAUAAAGUCCAUGAAGGUCCAGCCUUGGUAAGGCAACUUAUUCCACCACACCCUUGGUUUCGCGGCAUGUGUUAUGUUUGCACAAACCUCAGCAAUAAUCCCUCAGUGACUUUACCCCAGUGCUCCCCUAUACAUCAUGGUACCUGCAAUGGGGGCACCACAUGUUUUCCCGUUAGCCAGCCCCAUCCAUCAUGGACACUAUAAGUCAGCCAGUGGCAGGCUUGCCAUGGGUUUUGGGACGUCCCCCUAUCCAAAGCCCACCAUUGCAUUGUCUAUUGAACACCAAGUCUCUAGCCAUGUCCAGUUCUGCACAGAAGCUGGAUGCACGUUCCAGGGCAAGCUGCCUGCAGCUGCUGCUGAAAGGGUGGUGCAGAUACAACAGUUGAAGACAUUGGUCACCUCAGUGUAGGUGUGGGCCCAGAACAUGAUGCUGUUGGAGCAUGCCACCUAUGGCUGGAAUGACAAAGCAAGCACAGGUACUAACAGGGGUAAAUCAUGUCCCUCAGGCAAAAUACAGGCCAACUUUUCACCUCUCGAUAACAGUGCAGCCACCAAGGGCAUUUGCCCUGGGUGAUGAUACCACACCUUAUCAGCUCCCUGUGGUCCUUUUGGGUGCUGUACCCAUGCCAAACACACAGGGGAGCUUAUGCUAAGCCACACAGACAGUACACAUGCCCUCUGGAGGAGAGUCUCUUCCCUGGCCGUUCCCCUAUGCAUGGUUAAUUGUGGAGGCCACACAUUAAAUACCCAAGGAGUAACAUGUAAGUUAUACUGCAGCCCCUCCCCCCAGGGGGCUAUGAUAGCCAACCAUCUGCAAUGAGGUGCUUGGAGGGUCCAUGGCUAACACCAGGUUUUUCUGUUCCCCUGCCUUUAGGGGUACUGGGGCAGGCAAUAACAGAUUACUGUUCAACCCUGUACCUGGUUGGAGAAGGUUGUUCUUCCUCUCAUAGAUCUGGCCACAUGGCCUGGCCCUACAUGGGUCGAUGACUAACUAGCUAAUUCUGUAACUUCUAGGUAAUUAACCACAAAGUUAAGCCUUGAUAAAUUGCCUAGCUACUAGUACAGAUUACCACAGGUGUCAUCUCCUUGGUGAUCACAGUCCAUAUUGCCUUGAGUUCAACUUAUUAGCUACUUUAUUUACACCUGGUUUUAAACCAUAUUGUGUCAGUACUAGGCUGGACUGUAGCAGCAAUCCAGGCAGCAGCAGUACUCUGGCUAUACCUACCUGUAUACUAUGCCUCAUUAGGAAUGGGAGGAUGCCCUUCCUUAUGGUAAAGGCUCAGGGUCUAGAGGUGCCUCAGACCCCAUGACUUUAUCUUGCAUUAGGACUAUAGGCUUCAAGACCUAUUGUAAUUUUACUCCUAAGAGACCAGUACUCAGUGUACUCUGCUGCUCUAAGUAGGUGCCCCACUUCGCUAAAGUGGAUGUCUGUGCCUUCCCUAUCCAGGGGGUUGUUUCCCAUGAAUGCCCAAUCUCACAAUUACUAACUGCUUCUCUAUCAAGGAAUACUGGGGCUCAGCUCCCUUCCACAGCUGGGAACAAAAGCCUAUUGGCAUACUCAGGUGCUCUAUGCACUGCUAUAGGCCCUAACUGAAACUCUGUUGUCACAGGCACAUCUAGUUUAAAUGGGCACCUCUGGUCCACUACCCGUAUGGCUUGUGCCUGCUAAAUAGCCCGCUAGGCUACCAGAAAGACUGUCUCAGGAGCAUCAUCCCAAUCCCAGGCAAGAAGAACAUUGCCACUUCUAAAUCUGCAGGAGAAUCAGAGGUUAACAUGACAUCAUUAAUAAAAUAAUGACACGUGGUGGGGCUAUGAAUAUAGCCCUGCAGCAACACUGUGAAAGUCCAUUGUCACCCUCCCAUGAAAGCAAACUGUUCCUGCCUCUCUGGAACAAUGUCGACUGAGAGGAAUGCAUUGGUCAAUUCCACCACAUAGUGGCAUUGUCUCAGUUCUGUUGUCAAGAAGUUCAUCAAAUCCAUGAUAGAAGGUACAGAUACAUGCAGAAGGAGUAUUACUUUAUUCAGUUUCCGAUAAUCCACUGUUAUCUGCCAAAUCCCAUCAGGCUUUCUGACUGGCCAUAAUGGAAAAUGGUAGGGGCUAUGGAUGCCACACACUAUUUGCACCUCCUCUAACUUCUUAAUAGUCUCAGUUACCUCUGUAUUCCCCCCUGGCAAACGGUACUGAUGAGUGGAAGUAACCUGUCAGGGUUGUGGCAGAACUUGGGGCUGGUGAUGUGUAUGUUCACCCAGUACUGGCUUUACUGCAUGGACUCAGAAUCUGGAUUCUCUGGCCGUGGUGUGCAAGCCCAGACCAUGCAAAAUGUCCACCCCCAGAAUAUAUUCAGGUAUAGGAGAAACAUACACAGUGUACAGGUGGGGAGCCAAGCGGCCAAUGCCAAGAUGCAGAGACACAGGCUUCACCUUCACCGACUGGCUCCCAUAACCGUCCAUAAAUGCAGCUUUGCCUAGAAAUUUAUCUGGGUUCCCAUAAACUAGACUGCAGUCUGCACCAGUAUCUAUCAGUGCUAGGACCCGCGGUACAUUAGUGGGGGACCAGUGGAUUGCCAGCUCCACAUAUAGCCUCUGGUUGUCUAGUUCCCCCUGCCAAGCUGGCGACCUCGGCCAGUUCCCUAAUCAAACAAGAAAGGCUCUGUAUCUCUGCCUGUCUGCAAAUAGUCCUUGAGUUGCAGCGUCUGGGAGGGAUUAGGUUGAACAACAUUGUUUUGCCCCCCACACCUUAGGCAUUUUCUGGAAUUGCUGCUCCCGGGACAAUUGCCUUCACAGAGUCAACAACAUUCCAUUGGGUUGCCCGUCAAUUUUCUCCCGAGCAACCCCAGCUGCAAGUAAAUCAAUCCACAUCUGCAUGCAGGUCACCUCCUGGAGCCCCUUUUUAUCUGGUGGGGUGGUUAACUGCGGAUGAGGCAUUUUCUCCCUCCUUACGGUGCGGAUUCUCCGGUCCUGCGAAUGGCCUUCUGCCUCCCUGAGGGCUGCCAGAGCAGUAGUCACUUCAUGUAUGCGGCACCCCACAUACUGGGUGAGAACAGCGGCUAGAAAGCCAUAAGGGUUCGGGGUGCUGAACUCAGCACAAGAUCCCUCAUGUGGGAGGUAAAGCGUUCAUCAUCUGGCCCCAUGGUAAUCAGACCAAACAUAGCCUGCCGCAUACCUAUCUCCAAGAGUAUCUGCACCAAAUUAGUAUGUGAUUGCCAUUUACUCACAGUUUGUAGUAUCUCUCUGGCAUCAUUGAAAACAGUCCAUAUGACUGUCAUUAGCCACUUGAUUAAUGUGUGGCCACCUUGCUCUUGUGCCAACCGUUGGCACAGCUGCAGCUGCUGACGAAGGGAGGGGUGAGUUGUGAUAGAAGUCAGCUUCUCCAUCUCAGAGGCGGAACAAAAAAUGCUAUCAGCUCCCUCAGACGCUGCCGGCACUAUUUACCUAAUUCCCACAACUCACUGGGGUUAUAAGCAUAAUAAGAGGCGUGUUCCACCACUGUGGACGGGGUCCCUGGGCUUUCCCCUAGGGUCCCAUCAGCUGCUUAUGUUCUACCUUCUGACGGAUCACAGGAGGAGCCUGCAGCGGAGGAGCCUCCUCCUCCUCAGCAUCAGACCUAAAGGGAGUGUCCUGCCUGAAGGACCGGCUCAAGGUCGCACUAACAGCUCUUGCUAACUCCUGUUCCAGGCUGUUUAUCUGGGCCUCCAAGUACCCUGCUUGCGCCUGGAGGUCUCUCACCCCCAGGUCCUGCUCAAAGCUGUGCACUUGGGCCCCCAGGCAUGCGGCUUGCUCCGGAAGGUCCCUUACCUGUGGCACUGAGCAUGUACUUCCUGCAGUGCAGUUAGAAAUGCCCAUCCGACUCUGCUUGCAAAGUUCCUUUAUUUAUAGGCACAGCUGCUUAAAGACUGUUACCGGAAAGGAAUCCUGAUCCAGACGCCAAGAGAGGGUUCUUGGACUCAUGCAAGAAAGACUUCAGAAUACGAGUUUUGAAUUUUUGAAUUGCUGUUAAAACUUUCAUCAUGAACACUGAAGUGAGUGAAAAGAGACUUUUGCAGUCAUUUUUUUGCUGGCUGCAGAUGACAGUGACACCCUGGGAGUUGAGAAAUGCUUGUAAGAUGGAAGGAGGCUGUGUCCCUGAAUGAUCACCUGGAAGAGAGCCACCUUAGCCAAUGAAACUCCUGCUAUGAAUGUUUGCUGAGCAAGAAAUAUACUUACUGCUUUAUAUGCCUUUGAAGCUAUAGGUUCAUAUUGUUACCACAAUUUAAAGUGCUAUAAUAAAAAGAGUUCAGGAAGCAGGCACAUGGAAGCAAUAAGAGCAACAAACAUUUACACAGUUCUCAGGUCCCUGGACCAUGAAGGGCCACAUCCAAGGAGCUACCCCAGGAGGCCUCUCAUUUGCAUUUGUCCCCGCUAAUGCAGGACAGAGAUCAUGGAAGUUGGGCCCGACUGGAUGAGAUUUGGGGGUCUUUGGAAGUGGAGAAUGUGUUUGCCCUGGGGAAGAGAGGUGAUGUCUAGGAGACCUCUUCACUCAGGGCAAGCUCUAUGACCUGCUUUGACUCCAGAAUGUGGUAGAAGUGGCAUCACAUAAAUUGCAGAGCCUAGGCUUCAAGAGACCUUGCAACUUGCCUCUCACUGACUUGAAGUGCUCCCAUCAGAGCAUCUUGUAAGGAGCAGGUGGAGCAUGUGGACAAGCCAUCCCCACCAGCCCCUGAGACAUGUGAGAGAGGCCAGAACAGGCCAUCCGGACCCCACUGUGCUGGUGGAUGAGACAGCAGAAGGAAUAUCAACCUACCAACAGAAUCCUGAGAAAUGCUCACUCUUACUUCAAGCUGCUGCAUUUUGAUGUUAUGAAACCAUAAAUAACUUAUGAAGUCAUCUUUGCUGACUUAAAGUUUUCCAUAACUUUAUUAUAACAUAUCAAAAUUAUGAAAAAUGUGAAAAGUAGAAAACUGAUGAAUUUUGCUUCUUCAUAUGGUCUUUAAGAAUCUCAAAGGCACUGAAGUUUUUUAUCUUUUCUGUCUUAGAAUAAAAAACCUUGAAUGAAAAUCUGCUUCUUGGAAAAGCAGCAAGGUUUAUGCAGAGGCAAUCUGGUAUUUGUGUGCACUGGCAGCUGAUCAUACCCAGCAUGCACGCACUCUCAGGGCAGAGUCUGAUGCCCCACAUAAUGGGGCAUGGUAAGGACUCCCAUGUCCUUGAGAUAAAAUGAUAAGGAAAAUACACACUGCUAUUAGAAUAACAGGCCCAGCUUCUGCACAUUUUAAUUCCCAAAGUUUUCAUGAAAGACAAUGAUUUUUUGGUACCAUGUUUAACUCUACAAGAAUCAGUAGUGAAAACUAAAAAUGAUACUUUGUGAAAGUUCAUUAAUUUUGUUUUCAGCCAGUGGUGGCCUUGGUCAGAUAGAAUCAAAUCUAUGAUACUUUUUAUCAGAAAUGCUUAUACUGUGUACAAACCCAAAGUGAUGGCUUUCAAAGAUUGAAUUUGAUUAUUUUCUGUAUGGUGCAGAUGAAAAAUUACUACACAGGAGAAGGUGGGUUGGAGGUGCUCACGAGUAACCAGGAAACAGUCUGAAGUUUUUCUGAUACUUCUCCUUGGUCCAACCAAAUGUGAGAUAUAAACACAAACUUGGGAUUCCGUUCUUAUGUUUUGGUUGUUUCAGUCUUUACAGAUGUAUCGAAAGGCUGUCCAAAAAUGUCUGACUUCUGUAGUGUGCCUUCGUAGCACUAGAGGGUUCUGCAGCUGUGAAACUGAAGGCAUUGGCAAGAAGCCCUCCAUCUUCAAACCACUUUCUGCUAAGGUGUGGCUCUAUAAAACCACUAUGAGCUGGGCUUCACUGAGACUGAGUUGUUUCAGUAGGAUCUUCCGGAAAAACAUGUUCCCUCCUUUACCUGGGUUGUCAUUCUGAGAACAAUCACACCUCCAAUUUUGGCUUACUAAGCAAUAGCGUUUUAAUGAUUUUAAGCCAGGAUUUGCUCCUCCUUUCCUCAGUAUGAGAGCUUAACCACUGGAGGAACCAAGAAUUCAUGCUGGUUGGGUUCUGAUUCCACUUUAACUUACUGUAUAGCCUCAUCCCUUGUUUUUCUGGAGAUUCUCUUUUUCUGCUUCACUGAUUUAUAUUUACAUUAAAAUCAAAUGAGGCCAUGUUUCUGAAAUCACAUUGUCCCUACAUGGUCAUUACAAUGAGUCUGUAAUGUGACUGAAAGACAGCCAUGGAUACAGGUAGAGGAUAUCAGGCAAUUGAAUGCUCAUCAAGCAUUCAAUUCAGGGCAAAUGGCAUAAGGUAUGCAGUUGGCCUCUUCUGAUAUCUGUGUCUUAAUCCUUUCUUUAGCCUCUGUUUUCUGGACCAAGGCUAAGAUAUUUUCUGGGCACAGUGGCUCAUGCCUAUAAUCCCAGCACUCUGGGAGGCCAAGGUGGGAGGAUUUCUUCAGCCC
rnacentral:lncRNA from 1 species